AGAAAUGAGAAUAAUUUUGGAUUUUCAACGAAGGACUAAACCUAAGUUUUUUUAUUAGUGGGUCUGACAAGAUUUACAAAUCCUGCUCCUACGUAUCUCAAUAGAGAAGUCAAGGCUUACGUAGUUUUGGGUAGAAAAAUGUUUGUUUGUUGGUCAAUUUUAGCGAAAGCUAUAUUAUAUUAAUCGAUGAAAAACAUUAUUUUACCCAAAACAGAUUAGGAGUGGACGUAUACCACACAUCGAAUGGAUUUACAAAUCUACAUUCGGAAAAGCGUCACUUAUCUCGAC
rnacentral:lncRNA from 1 species